ACAGACAAGGCUUUACAUGGAUUUAUGGAUGCGUGCAAGCUGUAACAUGUUAUUUCAUGGGCAUUGCGAGACAUCUCAUCUGUCACAUGAUAAGAGGAACAGGAAUGGUGAACGCUAUUUUACUACAGUUCCAAGGCGAGGUGCCAGACCUCAUUCCAACGGGAAACAAUGGAGCGCAUAUUCCCCCACGUUGUACCUUUGAUGCCGUGUCAACACUUCCUUCUCUGGAUUUGAAAUACCCACAUACCAGACUGUCAGCGGGAGAAUGUUACUCAGUCGCCCACGCAGGCCGCGGAGCAGUUGUGAGGUGCCUUUAUUGCACAACUUCCAUUUUAUGCUAUUCGUGAAUCGUACUUUUAGUCCAAAAUGACACGUAUGACAGCUUUAGCAGCCUAGUUACAUGUUUUACAUGGUCCAAAGCUACAGCUAACUUGUUAAUGGUGGGAUUUAGGCAUGCUGAUCGAUGGGUUAGCUUUGGACGGAACCAUGCUAGCCUUUUCCCGCUUUUCUGGUCCUUGUGAUGAGCUAAGCUAACUAGCUGCUAGCUGUCAUUCCAUAUUUUGCCUACAAAUUAAGUAGUACCACUCUUCUCACCAAGAAAAGCAAAAUAAGUAAGUCCCAAAAUGUUGAAUUGUUCCUUUAAAUUAAUUUAUUUUAAGUGUCUAAAUACUUCUUCACCCACUGCAUGCCGUUCGCUCCCGACUCAACCUGUUACAGAAUGAGGCCAUAUAGGCCCAUUGUGCUCCAGCAUAAUGCACAGAACAUCACAUAUUCUGCUUUUAGUAAUAAUCACCGGCAAUAUUGUUAUUAAUUGCAUCCACAUGUGUUCACAUGAGCUGCGCCCAUGGCUGGUUUAAUUUAGCAGUUGGCCGGUUCCUGUAUCCUCAUGGUAGCCGUUUGUCUCCUCCAUUGUCUCUGCAGUCGUUGGUCACUAUUAAUUUCCUCAACUAUGAUAACUGGCAAACAUGGAAGGGUUUGAAAUGAACUAAACGCCCGCAUCCCUAGUGAAAAGUACUUCUCGGCCUGGUGUUGUUUGAUAUGUGUAAAUCAUGGCAUCAGUGAGCGGUUGAAGUCUACAUCUGCAGGAAAUACUGACAUGCAAUGUGGUCUGCUGACUCGCUCCCACUGUAUUUGUUUCCCCGCCGUUCAGUUGCCGAGUCAUUCCGCAAGCAGCAGCAUUACCGUAUUACAUGCCUUCUCAUAUACAUCCAGUCAAGAUUCAUCACUCUCCUCCCCUGUGACAUGAUCUCCUGGCAAAUAGACAUGAAAACACCCUCUCGUAGAAGAUAAGGGGAGACAACCAGACAUUCGCCUUGGAUUGCGAAGAACUCUACCGUGGUAUUGCCACGUACGAUUUUGUGUGCGGUCAAGAACCCACACAUACAUGCACACACACUCGUCGGUGUAAACUUGGCAGACAGCGAAGACUCCUCAGAGCCUGGACCUCGUACAGCAUGGACCACGCCACAGCGACAAAGUGCUUCUCCAGUGUGCUGGCAGCCACAGAUGCAUUGCUCAGACAUCGACGGAGUUUUGUGUAAACCAAACAGAAUUUGUUAUUCAUCCAGCUCCUUCUCAUGCAAAUCUUGGAGACAGUUUCCUCCACUACUUCCAGGUAGGGAUUACUUAAUAAAUGCUAAUUGGGGAGAGAGUUCUGCUGGUGGAGGAUUCUUUGCUGUUGGAGACACAUAAUGGAAGCAACAGAAACACGCAGAGAGAUUAAUUGAAACGGUGAUGUAAGGCCAAACAGACAAAUAGAAAAACAGACAAACAAAAUAAAAAUAAGUUUAUGAGUUGGGUCCCCAAUCAAAGUAAUGUUUGGAAUCAAUGCCACAGUACAAAAAGCACGGGCUGCAAAUCCAUUACCUAUAUUGCAGACUUUUAAAGGACAUUUUGUUCACCUGGACUGUGGACAGCAGAAUCUCUUAAUUAGGCAUUGCUCUAUUUUAGGAACACUAAGAAAUCACAUUCAUGGAGCCACUAAUGCUGCAUAAACUUGGCAACAUUGCGUUUCUUCAAUCACGGAGUACGUGUAAAUUCUUGCAUAUCAGUCUUGACAUUUCCUAUAUUAAAAGGACACAGUUGAUCAUCUAGAUGGCAGUCGGCCCUGUGACCUCCCCCGAGCUAUUAGUGUUGGCUAAAGUCUCACGUUUUUUCUUUGUUCUCCCAGAGAGCCAAACCAUAGAUUCUAAUUUCACCACAUGUUUCUCUUGGGUCCUGGAAACCUUUCACAUAAACACACAUUAUGUUUAGGUGUUGCAUGAAAGGUCCCCACAGUCUUGUAACACAUUCGACAAAGCAGAUCGCGUUGCAAAAAGCAAAAUGCGUUACAAUCAAUGCUGGCAGUGAUCCGCUUUGUCCAUUUUUAAUAAUUCACCAGCAGCACAGAGAGGGAAUCAUUUCUACACCAUAGAGGCGGACAACAAAUGCAUGUCACACGGUUGCUCACGAUGGAGGAGGCUUACCAAGGUCACUUGGUCAUAUAAAAUACUGUAAUCUGUAUUGAAAUGGUAAAAAUGUAUCAAAUAACAAGGUGAAACCACCCUUGCAAUGAUGAAUCCAUGAAAAAAAGGAUCAGUAUCACACUUGUCUUUGCUUUAAGGACCACCAAGAGUUUCA
ensembl:lncRNA